rnacentral:rRNA from 1 species
AGUGAACGCUGGCGGUAGGCCUAACACAUGCAAGUCGAACGGCAGCACAGUAAGAGCUUGCUCUUACGGGUGGCGAGUGGCGGACGGGUGCGGAAUACAUCGGAAUCUACUUUUUCGUGGGGGAUAACGUAGGGAAACUUACGCUCAUACCGCAUACGACCUACGGCUGAAAGCAGGGGAUCUUCGGACCUUGCGCGAUUGAAUGAGCCGAUGUCGGAUUAGCUAGUUGGCGGGGUAAAGGCCCACCAAGGCGACGAUCCGUAGCUGGCCGGAGAGGAUGAUCAGCCACACUGGAACUGAGACACGGUCCAGACUCCUACGGGAGGCAGCAGUGGGGAAUAUUGGACAAUGGGCGCAAGCCUGAUCCAGCCAUACCGCGUGGGUGAAGAAGGCCUUCGGGUUGUAAAGCCCUUUUGUUGGGAAAGAAAAGCAGCAGGUUAAUACCCCGCUGUUCUGACGGUACCCAAAGAAUAAGCACCGGCUAACUUCGUG